rnacentral:lncRNA from 1 species
UGAGGGCUCAGAUUCGGAUCCAAACUAUAGUGACGAAGAAAGUUCAAUCGAAAGUUCCGAUUUAGAACAAAAUAUUAAUGUAAAGAAGGGAAGAAAACGAAAGAGACAGAUAAACAGA